UUCCAAUUCGAUUUAUCUGCAUAAGCUUUGCGCACAAUUAAUGCCGUUUUUCUCACUCUGUUUUUGUUGAGAAUGUUGAAGAGUUACUUAAUUGAGUAAUUUAGUCCAAAGAUAGCCUUUCAUCUGUAAUACUUGAAACCUAGACAAAAUUAAGCUUGUCCACAAAAGGCAAAAUUAUCUUGCUUGAUAAGAUAAGAUAGUAGAGUAGUAAAUAGCCUUGACUCAGCGGUUCAUUAUGUGAAGAUAUCCUUCAAAAUUAUCUCGCCCUGACAGGAUAAUAGAGGAGUAAAUAGCAGUGACUCAGCGACCCAUUACGUGGGAGUACUUUUCUGGUAUCCUUCGAAAUUAUCUCGCCCUAACAGGAUAGUAGAUAAGUAAAUAGUGGUGACUCAGCAACUCAUUACGUGGGAGUACUUGUGUGGUAUCCUUCAAAAACAUCUCGCCCUGAUAGGAUAGUAGAGGAGUAAAUAGUGGUGACUCAGCGAACCAUUACGUGGGAGUACUUGUCUGGUAUCCUUCGAAAUUAUCUCGCCCUAACAGAAUAGUAGAGGAGUAAAUAGCGGUGACUCAGCGGCCCAUUACGUGGGAGUACUUAUUGGUAGCCACAAGGAAUCCACUACAUUAGAUGUAACUCCCGACCAGGCGCGAUCUUGUGUUUGCUCCAUAAUCUACCACCAGGAACCAAUUGAGUUGCGUGUGCGAGCUAGACAAAA